AUACGUAGGUGGCGAGCGUUGUCCGGAAUUACUGGGCGUAAAGGAUGCGUAGGUGGAUAUUUAAGUGGGAUGUGAAAUCCCCGGGCUCAACCCGGGAACUGCAUUCCAAACUGGGUAUCUAGAGUGCAGGAGAGGAAAGCGGAAUUCCUAGUGUAGCGGUGAAAUGCGUAGAUAUUAGGAGGAACACCAGUGGCGAAGGCGGCUUUCUGGACGUUACCUGACACUGAGGCAUGAAAGCGUGGGUAGCAAACAGGAUUAGAUACCCUGUUGGUCCACGCCGUAAACGAUGGGUACUAGGUGUAGGAGGUAUCGACCCCUUCUGUGCCGUCGUUAACACAAUAAGUACCCCGCCUGGGGAGUACGGUCGCAAGACUAAAACUCAAAGGAAUUGACGGGG
rnacentral:rRNA from 1 species